rnacentral:rRNA from 1 species
AACGAACGCUGGCGGCAGGCCUAACACAUGCAAGUCGAACGAGAAGCCACCUUCGGUGGUGGACAGUGGCAGACGGGUGAGUAACGCGUGGGAACGUGCCUUUCGGUUCGGAAUAACCCAGGGAAACUUGGGCUAAUACCGGAUACGCCCUCCGGGGGAAAGAUUCAUCGCCGAAAGAUCGGCCCGCGUCGGAUUAGCUAGUUGGUGGGGUAAUGGCUAACCAAGGCGACGAUCCGUAGCUGGUCUGAGAGGAUGACCAGCCACACUGGGAGUGGGACACGGCCCAGACUCCGACGGGAGGCAGCAGUGGGUGAUAUUGGACAAUGGGCGAAAGCCUGAUCCAGCCAUGCCGCGUAGGUGAAGAAGGCCUUAGGGUUGUAAACCCCUUUCAGCGGGGAAGAUAAUGACGGUACCCGCAGAAGAAGUCCCGGCUAACUCCGUGCCAGCAGCCGCCGUAAUAC